rnacentral:misc_RNA from 1 species
ACGAGUUAGGGUCUUCUAGGCCCGACCCUCCCAACCCUAUGUUUAUUGAACCUCUGUUGCUUCGGCGGACCCGCCUCACGGCCGCCGUGAGGACCGCUGCUAAGGCGUCCCUCUGGCCAGCGUCCGCCGAUGGCCAACCACUUAAACUCUGAAUGAAUCGUGUCAUAUGUCUAAGUCUAUGAUUAAAUUAAAGCA